rnacentral:rRNA from 1 species
UAAUACGAAGGGGACUAGCGUUGUUCGGAAUCACUGGGCGUAAAGCGCACGUAGGCGGAUCAUUUAGUCAGGGGUGAAAUCCCGGGGCUCAACCUCGGAACUGCCUUUGAUACUGAUGGUCUCGAGUCCGAUAGAGGUGGGUAGAAUUCCUAGUGUAGAGGUGAAAUUCGUAGAUAUUAGGAAGAAUACCGGUGGCGAAGGCGGCCCACUGGAUCGGUACUGACGCUGAGGUGCGAAAGCGUGGGGAGCAAACAGG